AGUGAAUGUUGAUAUGUUCUAAUCAAUUAUUUUCUAAGCACUCUGUUGCCUCCUAUGUUAUUUCUUUCACAUGGAGUUAUAAAGUUCAAGUGAUUAAACUUACAACCUUGUCUUUGGAAGACUUGUGGAAAAAGAAGUUUUUCUCCACCAAGGAAAAGGUAGAAGAACUGAAAGAAGAUAGAUCCCCAGAGAGUAUACUGUAGCUGCACAAAGAAUCUGAAACUGAGAACAGCGCUCCAUUCACCACAGGUCAUUCACCCAUUCUGAGUGUAGGCUGUCACACUACAGGAAAUUACCAAAGAAAUUCCUGAGAUAUCGUCAGACACAAAAAUAGAAUUGAAAUUCAAAGAAUUCACAGAUCACCUCUAGAAAGAAAUGCUCAAAUGACAAUUUUCAAGAAUGUAAUAGAUUCAAGAGCCAUCAAGAUAAAAAGAAAAUACUGUAAUACUGUAAGCAGCCAUAAAAACCAAUUCAAAUACCAUGAAACUGAAAAUCAGGAUCACACAGGAUCUAGCAGCUUCUACACUGAAGGAUUGAGUGUUAUGGAAUAGGAUAUUCAGGAAGGCAAAAGAUCUGGGUUUGUAAGCCAGAGUCACCUAUCCAGCAAAACUGAGUACAUUUUUUCAGGGGAGAAAUGGAAAUUCAAUAAUAUAGAAGAUUUCCAAGUAUUCCUGAGGAAUAAAUCAGACCAAAAUAAAACAUUUUAUGUCCAAACAUGAUACAGAAGAGAAGCCCAAAAUGGUAAAUCAAAAAGAGAAAAUUGAAUGGACUCAUUAAAGAGUUAAAAUGUUUAUAUAUCGAAAUGG